rnacentral:sRNA from 1 species
CUUUUUUGCUAUCUGCGAUACUCAAAGACUCGAACCUGCAGCAGGUUCGAGUUGAGCGCAGCGAAACAACGGAGCAGCUCGCGGCGACGGCCCGAAGGGCGAGCGAAGCGAGUCAUCCUGCACGACCCACCA